rnacentral:rRNA from 1 species
CCCCUAGAUGUUCUGGGCCGCACGCGCGCUACACUGAACAGUUCAACAAGUCUUAACCUUGGCCGAUAGGUCUGGGUAAUCUUUGAACGCUGUUCGUGAUUGGGAUAGACCUUUGCAAUUAUGGGUCUUCAACGAGGAAUUCCUAGUAAACGCAAGUCAUCAGCUUGCAUUGAUUACGUCCCUGCCCUUUGUACACACCGCCCGUCGCACCUACCGAUUGAGUGAUCCGGUGAAUAAUUCGGACUGCAGCAGUGCUUGGUCCUCCGGGCUUUGCAGCGGAAAGUUUAGUGAACCUUAUCACUUAGAGGAAGGAGAAGUCGUAACA